GGGGGAUUGGUAUAGUUGGUAACACACCGUCAUGGCAUGGCGGAAUCGGCGGCUCGAAUCCGCUAUCCUCCACCA
rnacentral:tRNA from 1 species